AGUCAGAAGUACGGGUUCCUGUAGUGGCCAAACUUCAGUGAGAGACUCUCAUAAUGCACUACGGAAAAAUGAAGGAGGUAACGGAGUUCCUGCGCCAGAGGGGUCCCGGAGAAAAGCGUAUUCCAAAUGGCAGAACAGAAGUAUGGAUGAUUUGAGACAGCGUGGAGCCCAGAGAGCUGCAGAGACUUAGAGGAGAAACCUCAGUGUGCUGGACGUCCGUAUGUGGUGGAUUGGCUGGAGAGGACUGAGGUGGAGCGGUCUUUCAAUGGGAGGAGGAUAGCACCAGGCCUGAGGACGGAAGACCUGCACCUACAGAACCUGAGCCCAUACUGGGCAUACAGUAGCUGUUACCACAUGCACAGGCCCAGUCUAUCUCUGUCUUUGACAAAAGGUGUUUACUUAUACAUUUAAUAGGUUAACAUAGUGUACGGUCACCAUUUGUCUGGGUUUUAUUUUGAAAAGUGUGCACUACCCUAGUUAUUUCUGCUUCUUCUUCCUGUCUCUGUGUUCCCUCCUGUUUGAUUACCUGAUUGUGUUCGCCUGGUGCUCCUGGGUUUUUCCUCCUUCCCCACCUGUGUCUUGUCUUUGUGAUCACUCCUCUAAUAUUUAAGUUCUGUUUGUCCUUCAGUUUUUAUUAGAUCCUCUUUUUUGUCUAUCUUGUCCUUUUUUAUAGAAUAGAAUAGAAUCGGAGGAUGAAACCCUCUUUAUUUGUCACAUACAUGCACACAGCAGAGCACACACAGUGAAUUUGUCCUCUGCAUUUAACCCAUCCUAGUACUAGGAGCAGUGGGCAGCUAUUGUGCAGCGCCCGGGGAGCAAUGGGGAGGGGGGAUUGGAGGUGUCCAGUGCCUUGCUCAAGUAGCAGUCCACUUCCCAUAUUUGAAGUCUGUUCUGGGACUUGAACCAGCGACCCUAUGAUUCCCAGUCCAAGCCCCUACUGACUGAGCCACUGCUAAAACCUUGUUGAUAGUUAAUCUAUGAUAACUUCUGGUUCAAUAAAUUGCAUUUGUAUUUGUA